rnacentral:rRNA from 1 species
UAGGUAGGUGGUCUCAUUUGUCUGGGGUGAAAGCCUUGAGCUUAACUCAAGAAGUGCCCCGGAAACGGUGAGACUGGAGUCCUGGAGAGGGUCGUGGAAUUCCCGGUGUAGCGGUGAAAUGCGUAGAGAUCGGGAGGAACACCAGAGGCGAAGGCGGCGACCUGGACAGGUACUGACACUCAACUACGAAAGCGUGGGGAGCAAACAGGAUUAGAUACCCUGGUAGUCCACGCUGUAAACGAUGGGUACUAGGUUUGGUGGGUCUUGACCCCCGCGAACCGGCGCUAACGCAAUAAGUACCCCGCCUGGGAAUACGGUCGCAAGACUAAA